CUCGCGUUUGAUUUCCGCUCAAGAAGAAGAGGAACUCCCUACUUUGAAAUAUCUCAUGUUGAAGAAGUGAGCAUGUCGCCCUUAGAGGUUUCUAAAAAUCUCUAGCCAUUAAAGAGUUAGUUAACUGUUUUGAGCCUGUUAACGUGUACACGGAGCUUUUAUGUUGUGUUUAAAACUGAGAAGUUAGCCUCUACUGUUUGUGAAUGGCUGUAGCUAGCUGUUAGUAGCUAACAGUGAUGUCCUCGUCGUGGACAGAGCGUCAGGGACAGGUGGGAGACCUGAGAAACCAGAGCAAAGAAGAGCUCCAAGAACUGCUGCUCCGACAGGAAAAGAUACUCUCUAACAGGAGGUUGUUGCAGACUCUUCCUGACAAAGGGAAAAAGAUAUCAGAAUUUGCAGAGAAAGUGCGGCUUGCCAUUGAACACCAUGAUGAAGAGGAGAGGAGACAGAGCUUGGUGUCUGCUGCCAGGACAGAGUUUCAGUCCAAGUACCGGCAGGCUUUCACUAUGCAAAAACGUGCUAUUCCCAACACACCGUCAGCCUCACAUCAAAACAGACAGAGUGAGGCUGCGGCGGGUGACGUGGUACAUGAGAGGGAGACCUCACCUGUCUCAGCUCACGUGCAAGAAAGCGCUACUUUGGACAAGGACGAGGCUGCUGGUGAAACCAUGGAGACAGCUGCUGCUGGGCCCUUUCUGAACUCUGAUGAGACAAAAGAGGGUGACCUUGUGAAGGCCUUGGAAAGGGUCAAACUGUCUGAAACUAGUACUGGUAUCAGUAGCAAGUCCAAAGACCCAUUAAACAGCACAGCAAGAGACAAUUACUUUCUCAGAAAGCAGACACCAAAAAAGCCUCACUAUGUAACUGUCCUGGAAGAAUCAGAGAAGACCUCAGCUCCCAGGAAGCAGAAAUUUAAACCAAACCAGCUGCCCCACAGAGGUGACAUUUCUCCAUCAGGAUCCUCGUCACCCAGCCAGUCCUCUGAGGGCCCAUUGGCGCUCUCUGCACAGGCCAGGAGGGAGAGGGACAGAAAACACCUGGAUGACAUCACCUCAGCCAAACUCCCUCCUCUCCACCACAGCCCAGCCCAGCUUCUGUGCCUGGAAGAGUCAGCCAUCCUCCUGAGGGAACAAACCAAGAAGCAGCAGGAGUUGCAGGCCAAGCUGGCAGCCCAGAAAUUGUCUGAGGGAUUGAAGAUCUCUAUAGGGAGCUACUCUCCUGAUGGUGGCCCCAUGGCUGCCUACAGAGAGGUUCAUGAUGAAGGAGCCCAGCUCUCCUCAGAGGAAGACUGAUCCAAGAGGGCCAGAGCAGGGGAAACCAGUGUGACCUUGGAUCUGACAGAAACAGCCUUUGGAUCUUGCAAUCAGGACCCAUCAAACAAGAUUUUCAGUCCAAGGACAGGAAUUCAUAAGAAUAAGAAUUCAUGGUGUGAAGGCAUAGUUGGUAUCCCAGACUCAGGAAAUUGAAUGGCAGGUUGAGAAAGUGGCUUACGUAAUUGUCAUUCUGUUCAUAUUGGCAUCAGUAUUUCACUGCCCUGCAGGAAUAAUCAUAUGUGUGGUUAACCAGAACUCUUGGAUGCUAAAUUUGAAGCAUGCAGUCUUUAUGACUGUAUUAGGAAAAUGUCUCUUCUCAGUACGAUGAAACUAAUGAUGUUGUGGCUUUCUGAGCCUGAGAGUAUUUUACAUUGAAAUUUAUAUUUUAGUGUGUUAAUAAUUACAUGCACUUCAGACUCAUCAACAGGUGGAGCAGACUGUUUUGGCACAAUGGUGACUGUUUACAGCUUUGUCUAGAAAAUAGACAUGAGCCUUCACAUAAUUGUGUCAGGUUAAAUUAUUACAGAAUAUAUAACAGAACUGAAUAAAUACACCUGAUUCCCCAAA